rnacentral:lncRNA from 1 species
CCUUUCUUUAUGCAGCGUUCAAUGCUAUCAGUUAGUGUCAUUCUCCUUUCCAUUAUAAACUCAUAUAAUAUUUUAGAAGAAAAAGCACUUUUCAGACUUUCAAGAGCUGCUUGUCUUGUUUUGGCACUUUUGUCCAAUGUAAGAUCAAUGAAUCCCUUCAAUUUGUAUUCUAAGUCUUCUUGAGUGGCUUCUUCAUCAACUUCAGGCCCAUCCUCGGUGAAGCUGGGGGGAUCACUGAAGCCACUGCAGUGGCUCAUAGUUUCAAUUGAAGCAUCUUCAUCACUAAAAGGCUGCACACUUCUGGGCUGACCACCGGCUCCCCGCUGGUGGUUGCUCCCCCGCUUCUUUGACUUGGGCAUGGUCGCAGCGGCGCUCGGCUGGGCUCGGCUCGGCUCCUCGGUCCCUCUGUGGGGCUCGGUCUCUCUGCUCCCCCCCGCCCGGGAAUCAGGGACAAUCAGCCGAUGGAAGAGCAGGAUCGCUUUUUAUUCCAACGCCUUUGCGAGGCCGACUUCUCGGGCCGGGGCAGCGGAGGUGAUUGGCGAAGGCAAGCGAAGGACGAACUGGCGGCGAUGGCAGAAAUCCCCGUGAAGGCCCGCGAGCGGAGUCGAUGCAUCUUUCUCCUCUCAGACACCCGGGGCUAAAAGCGCGGAGCGGGCGCCGGCGCCGCUUUUAUAGCGCACCGAGCUGCGGGGGCGGGGCCUCGCCGCGCGCCGCCGCCGCGACCAAUGACGAAGCGUUGCGACAGCGCGCAGGUGACUCAGCCGCGCGAGUCCAUGACGUGCGGCGCUGCCACGCGCUCGGGGGGCGUGGCGCCGUGGCGCCUCGCGGUGCACGCUGGGGGUGGCGCGGCGCGGCCGGAGCCGAGUGGCGCCGAGGGGCUGAGUGGGGAAGGCGGGGGGAGGGGGCGCUGGCGGGUGACAACCUCGCGGAGCGCGGGAGCUCUCAGCGGAGAGGCCUCCUGAGGGCGUCUAAAAAUAGGCCUCCGCCCCCCUGCAGGCACGGCCGAGAGCCUGAGCGAGGAGAGGCGGAGAGCGAGGGAGGGGCGGCGGACGGGGUCGUGUGAGGCCGCGCGGGCGGGGCCCGGCCCGGCAGACAAAGGAGCCGCGCGUGGCCGUUUCUCUUCAGAGCUCUCCUCACUGCCGUGCCCGGAGCGCGGCUCGCGGGUGUGCCCGCAUAACGACAAAUAGAUACACGCACAUAUCGUCAGGAGCCGGACUUGUGAAAAUCGGGGAACAGAACCUUUUUUUGGCGAUUGCAGAAAAGAAUUCUCCAUUUUCCGCGUGCCUCACAGUCGGGAACCUGAGCCCAUGUGUCACAGACACGAUUGUAUGUUGUAGUGUAGGUUCGCGCUGUAAGCCCGGGUGGUUUUGCUUCUUGUUCCACGUUGUGUUUGCCGGACAGUGACUGCAACAGCGCUGCAGCAUCUGAGGAGGGGAAGGUGGUGUUGCAGGACGUGCUGCAGAGCCUCAUAAGAUGCGGCGGUGAUUGCGUUAUUUGAAUUCCUGUGCGUGCAAAGCGUUUACACCGCGGCUUCCGGAAGGAUAACUUUCAUUGUGAUUCUCCAUAGGUGCUACGUGAAACAAUAAAGGAAAUGGGGCUUAACGAGCUGUUUACUUUUGAGCGAGCACGUGCUAACAAACGGCCUGUUUCUGGAAAGUGGUCGCUGCUCGCUGUGAUGUCUGUGGGUGCUGCACAGCACGAGCCCGGGCUCAGCCGUUCCAUGUGGGGCAUGGGGGGGGGCACACUGCCGCAAGGCCUGCUCGCCCCUCUGCUCUUCAGAUCCUACUGAAAAAGAGAAAAAAACCAAAAAACAAGUCAGUACAUUCUUCUGCCUGUGUGGAGGACAGCAGUAAAGUGUCUCAGAGGCACCGAUUUUUCUCCUUCGAGGGGGUUCCUGUGAAACGUGAGGGAAAAAGGCAGCCUUCCAGGUAAAUAGGUGGAGGAGGUUUAAUUAAAUCCGGAAGGCGUAGCUGCACCCGUGGGUACACAAUGCCCUGUCUUAAAAUAAGCUGAAUAAGCAACAGUUCCUAAUAGCAGCCGAGGAAACUUGAAUGGUGGGUGUAUUUUGGAUGCAAGAUGCCAAUACCAUUUCAGUAAGGUCAGCUGUGCCCUGACAGCUUCCUGUGUGCUUGCCCUCUGAUUUGUAGGUUAUCCUCACGGGUACAGGGUGACCUUUCAGCCUGGACUGAAGUGAAAUGGUCACCUUUGUGCUGGUGCCUUGGUCCCACACAAUGCUGUCUUCAGCUGCCAGCAAGGAUGAGGCCGAGCACUGAGCUCCUUGCAGGUGUGAUGGAGUUUGAGCAAUAAUGCAGAGCAGUGCCACCUGCAAGUGGGAGACUGGGUGUCCUGUAGGCAGCAGCUACAACAGUAACAGCAGUAAUGGGUGGAGUUGGAAGAGUCAAGCAAGGAGUGGUAAGUUCGAAGGUGGUCUGACCAGAACAGAGGAGAUAAAGCCUAUGGGACAGGAGAGAAGAUCCUAGCUCAGGUGGGAAAAGCCACUGCCGAGGCACUAGGUGCUAAUAAUCUCAGACAACCAAAAUGAGUUACUAAAGGCAAAUGAAACAAAAUAAAAAAAUCCACAGCUAUGCAUUUGUAACCACUUUGCGUCUGACUUUUGCUUGUGACUGUGUAUUCUGAUACCCACUGUCUCCAGGUUACUGAGAUUCCCUGGAUAUCUGACCAACAGUUUAGUGAGAUCUCACAACAGGGAUUGCAUAUCACUGCUUAGUUUUGCACGGUUUCACUAUGACAGAACAGACUCUUUGUCUUGAUUGUUGACUUCUUGCCCACUAUCCUGAUUUAUCAUGUUGGCAGGAGUUCUAGGCGCCAGUGGGCCUAGAGCCCACAAACAUCUUUGGAUAGUAAAAGAGUCACAUGUUGCCAGAGAUCUGUAUACCUAUUGUCUGGCUUAUGCUGGAGCAGCUGGUAAUGAGGGACACACCGUAACAGUGACACCAACAGCAUCAGCAUUAAGUGAGAGCAUCCUGUGGAGACAAGCGUUCCAUGAGGCAGCAGGGGCAGGCAGGCCUGGAAGGCGAGGUAAGCUGGGAGCCAAAGAUGGCAUCAGAGAGUGGUCGUGACCUUGCUGCUGGGCAGGUGAAGUCCCACAGAACCCAGACAAGAAGAACAAAGCAGGUCCGUGGUUGUCAGGGGUGUCAGCCAGGAGUACAAGCUGACAGAUUGUCCCAGGUCCCAGUGACCACAGUGACAAUGUGGGCUGCGGUCAGGCUGGAAAGGAAAGCCAGCGAGUCAGGAUCAGAAUUGGGUUCAGUGACAGUAACCAGGACCAGCCACCAGUGUGGUCAUCAUCAGACACAGUAGUGAGGAGGAUCGAGAUCAGCCUUGCUGGGCCAGGCUCUGGACCGGCAGGCGUGUGGCCAGGCAGAGACAUGUCUGUAACAUAGCUCAGGCAAGCACUUCAGCUUAAGUGCAGCUCUGGAGUGAAAGGAAGAAGACCCUGCUUUGUAAAGUUCUUUCCCACACAGCCAUCUGAUCCAAGGCCACUCAGCAGUGCCAUGGCUUGAGUACAGGCAGCUUAACUCUUAACAGUGGACCUCAGAAAGGUUGUAAUGAAAAACUUAAGCCAGGCUGAGGGGCAUACGUAUAUGACUGAGAAAGUAUUUGGGGCUUAGAAUUUGAUUGCCAGAGUUUAUUCUGGACACAUACAGGUCAUCAUCAUAUAACAAACAAUUAGAGACAUAGCCAGACAUACUCUGUUUACACCAGUAAAUACUGUAAGGAAGUCAGGAAUGAAGGAAAGGAGAUAGGAAUUCAAGGAAUUCAUUGCAUGGAACCCUGAUUCAUGUAGGUGUGGGGUUUUUUUCUUCCUUUUUGCUGUUCCUUUGAAGUUGUCUCUCUUAAGACACAAAAAAGAGUCCCAGACUUGCACUGGUUUUCGUGCAUUGCAUAAUCAACUUAAUGGCAAUCAUAAAGAUCUCAGAACCAAGAAAAGAGCACAAAGCUGGAACACGGGUCAUGCUGAGGGCAUCCCUGGCCAAAUAAUCAAACUGUUUGAUUUGUUUAACUGUACUUCUAGUGACUAUGUACUGAAAGAGUGUGAACCCGUUAGCAGUACCGCAACUCCUCACCCUGGAACACUUAAUGCUCCAAAUUUAUGCCCUCGAGAUUGAUGUGCAGCCUCACUGCCCAAAAUAAAUCUACCCAUAACAAAUUAUAACCACAGACUCCCUCUGUUCUGGCCACAGUUGCUACAGCGGUGUACUUGUUUGUCACUUACUUGACUCUGUAGGCAAAGGCUUAAGUCAUUCUUUCCCUCCGCAUAGCUAGGGC